GCCAACCUUCAAGUCUCUCCUACCUUAGAAGACCAGAUUCGCCAAGCCCAACUUCUUGAUGCUAUGGUGAAGAAGGUGAAGAUUGGUAUUGCAAAGAGUCAGUCUAAGUACAAGUGCUACCGACUUGAUGAUAAGGACACUCUCUUCUUCGAGGAUCGAAUUGUUGUGCCCAAAGGUGAACUCCGUAAGGUGAUUAUGAACGAGGCUCACAACUCUCUCCUCUCCAUCCACCCUGGUAGUACGAAGAUGUAUCAGGACCUCAAGCAAGCCUAUUGGUGGACUCGAAUGAAGCGCGAGAUCGCUCAAUUCGUGAACGAAUGUGAUGUCUGCAGAAGAGUGAAGGCAGAACACCAAAGGCCAGCUGGUCUCCUCCAACCUCUCGCCAUUCCAGAAUGGAAGUUUGACCACAUUGAAAUGGAC
rnacentral:rRNA from 1 species